GACGAACGCUGGCGGCGUGCUUAACACAUGCAAGUCGAACGGAAAGGCCCUGCUGUUGUGGGGUGCUCGAGUGGCGAACGGGUGAGUAACACGGGAGUAACCUGCCCUUGACUUUGGGAUAACUUCAGGAAACUGGGGCUAAUACCGGAUAGGAGCUCCUGCUGCAUGGUGGGGGUUGGAAAGUUUCGGCGGUUGGGGAUGGACUCGCGGCUUAUCAGCUUGUUGGUGGGGUAGUGGCUUACCAAGGCUUUGACGGGUAGCCGGCCUGAGAGGGUGACCGGCCACAUUGGGACUGAGAUACGGCCCAGACUCCUACGGGAGGCAGCAGUGGGGAAUAUUGCACAAUGGGCGGAAGCCUGAUGCAGCAACGCCGCGUGCGGGAUGACGGCCUUCGGGUUGUAAACCGCUUUCGCCUGUGACGAAGCGUGAGUGACGGUAAUGGGUAAAGAAGCACCGGCUAACUACGUG
rnacentral:rRNA from 1 species